ACGAAUCUCUAGGGAUUUAGAGGAGAUUUAGAUCCAAUAUCAAGGGGCCGGAAAUAGAUCAUAGCAGUCAAGCUCACCUUGGCAGCGUUCGUGGAAGGUUUCUUGGAGUUUUCCGGCGAUUUACGUGUUGCACGAUUGAGAAGGGCCAAAUAUGUAGUUGGUACAGUCAAGCUUUGCAAGAAAAACCUGGUGGCUCCUAGGAUAUUGAAGCUUCCUCAGGCUUAGGCCCGUGCUUAAAGAAGAGAGAGAGCCAAAGGAAGAAUUUCAAACGCCAAACAACGAAUUUGGAGCUCUCUCAGCAUCAUUAGAACAAGGACAAAGAAAACUGGGUGGCUUACGUGCAGUUUACCGUCAACCUUACGGCCGUAAGUAAGUUCCAGAGAAUCUUGCGAGCUUGCUUAUGCCCAUAAAGAAGGAUUUAGAGCUAACUUAGCAGACCUUACAUGCAAGGCUUAUGCACAUAAGGAUGCCCGUAAGAACCAUCUAGAGGAGCUUAGGACCACAGCAUACUCCCGUAAGAACGGUCGCAAGAAACUAAACAAUGAAGCUUACGGUCCAGCGCUUACAGCCGUAAGCUGGACUGUAACACAAACAUAAGACCUUACGGCGUAAGUGUUCUCGUAAGGCUUCCAACCAUCUUCUCCAGCUCCCUUGUGGCCUAUCCCUUACGCCCGUAAACAGCUCGUAAGCAGUCAGGUAUAAAUAGAACUUAUGAGGAUUUUUAAGGCAUUAUCUAUUUCAGCAAUUCUUGGAGACGAGGUUAGAGAAGAAAAGAGAUGAAUUACCAGCACUUAAGGAGCAAUUUGGAGAGGGAUUCUGAUCUACAUUCAAGGAGAUUGAAGAUCAUAGCCGUCAAGCUCAUCUUGGUGGCAUGUGUGGAGGUUUAUCAAGCAACUUCUCUGGCGAUUCUUUAUCCUAGGGAUUGAA